GCUAAGCCUAGCCUGACGGGGCGAAAGUCGGACACCCAAUCCGAUUGGCUUAGCAGUUUAUUUGGGG
rnacentral:sRNA from 1 species